GUUCCGGCCUCCCCGGCGGCCGCGGCAGAAAGCGAAAGCUCGACCGCUCGAGGCUGGAGCGGCGCGACGGCGUGGCUCGCGCGGGUUUUGUCAGCAGCCGCGGCUGCGAACUGGCGGUGUGGAGGAGGGCGGGCGGCGACGCGUCCGGGUCACCCGUCUGCGCGCCUAUCGCGUAGAUUUCUACAAACCGGCAGCCAGUCUAGCCUGCAAAAGAUCAAGGACAGACCUUGAGAAGACGGCGACAAGCUCAUUGGUGUGCGCGGAGAGGGAAUCGCCGAUGCGCUCCCUCACGCUGUGGAUACGGCUCAGGGCGCGCUCUCCGGCAGUCUCCCCCAUUGCUGUCCUCAAACCUGAACAGCGGAAACAGACAUGUAAACCUGAACAGCAGAAACAGUGAAGCCUCCUCCUAGACAACAGGGCGCUCUGUCCUAGUAGCAACGAUGCAUGAGCUCUACUGAUAAAUAGAGCCAAAGGAAGAAGAAAGGUUGGCGUGACGUGCAAGAGUACCUAGAAGGUUGUGCUUUGGGAAGCAGAUCAUGGGAUUAGCGUGA